ACGUCCGCGGGGAAAAAAAAAAAAAAAAAAAAAAAAAAAAAAAAAAAAAAAAAAAA
rnacentral:ribozyme from 13 species